UUAAUUGAAACCAAAAUUAGAGGUAAAUCACUGUUAAUGAUUAAAUUGAGUUUUAUGACUCCAAUUAAA
rnacentral:tRNA from 1 species